rnacentral:rRNA from 1 species
UUUUAUUAUGAGAGUUUGAUCCUGGCUCAGGACGAACGCUGGCGGCGUGCCUAAUACAUGCAAGUCGAACGCUUCUUUCCUCCCAAGUGCUUGCACUCAAUUGGAAAGAGG